rnacentral:rRNA from 1 species
UGCAAGUCGAACGAAGUCUUCGGACUUAGUGGCGGACGGGUGAGUAACACGUGGGAACGUGCCUUUAGGUUCGGAAUAACUCAGGGAAACUUGUGCUAAUACCGAAUGUGCCCUUCGGGGGAAAGAUUUAUCGCCUUUAGAGCGGCCCGCGUCUGAUUAGCUAGUUGGUGAGGUAAAGGCUCACCAAGGCGACGAUCAGUAGCUGGUCUGAGAGGAUGAUCAGCCACAUUGGGACUGAGACACGGCCCAAACUCCUACGGGAGGCAGCAGUGGGGAAUCUUGCGCAAUGGGCGAAAGCCUGACGCAGCCAUGCCGCGUGAAUGAUGAAGGUCUUAGGAUUGUAAAAUUCUUUCACCGGGGACGAUAAUGACGGUACCCGGAGAAGAAGCCCCGGCUAACUUCGUGCCAGCAGCCGCGGUAAUACGAAGGGGGCUAGCGUUGCUCGGAAUUACUGGGCGUAAAGGGAGCGUAGGCGGACAUUUAAGUCAGGGGUGAAAUCCCGGGGCUCAACCUCGGAAUUGCCUUU